CACCAGAAAUCACCAUUCCUGUUUCCUGCUGCUCUUUGUUACACCAUGUGGCCAGCACCCGUGGGGCAGACAAACCCAUUGCCAUCAAAUCAGGCCAGGGACAACCAGGACAACAAGAGGAAGAGAAGGAUGACAUCCAGGAUUCCAAUAGACAGGAGAGGCACCUAGGGACUGGAGGAGGGCAAACAUCACUCCAAUCUUCAAAAGGCAACCAGAGGGACCCAGGGACCACCAACAGCCCAGAUGAUGCAAGUGUGGAGGGGACCUCUGAUGCAGCAAGAACACCAAGAACUCAUUCACAUAAUUCCAGAAACUUGAUACAUAUGCAUAAACUGGAUAUAUAAAUUGGAGAGUCUGUUUUGUACUCAUUGCACAGGGCUACUUGCUUUUGUGCCCAGGGCUACUUGCUUUCACUCUAACAAAUAAACUUCAUAUUGUCUUUGGUACAAA